rnacentral:misc_RNA from 1 species
GAUGAAGAACGCAGCGAAAUGCGAUACGUAAUGUGAAUUGCAGAAUUCAGUGAAUCAUCGAGUUUUUGAACGCACAUUGCGCCCCCUGGUAUUCCGGGGGGCAUGCCUGUCCGAGCGUCAUUGCUGCCCUCAAGCACGGCUUGUGUGUUGGGCCUCCGUCCUCCUCCCGGGGGACGGGCCCGAAAGGCAGCGGCGGCACCGCGUCCGGUCCUCGAGCGUAUGGGGCUUCGUCACCCGCUCUUGUAGGCCCGGCCGGCGCUUGCCGACACAUCAAUCUUUUUUCCAGGUUGACCUCGGAUCAGGUAGGGAUACCCGCUGAACUUAAGCAUAUCAAUAAGCGGAGGA